rnacentral:rRNA from 1 species
CAGCAGCCACGGUAAUACGUAGGUGGCAAGCGUUGUCCGGAAUUAUUGGGCGUAAAGGGCUCGCAGGCGGUUUCUUAAGUCUGAUGUGAAAGCCCCCGGCUCAACCGGGGAGGGUCAUUGGAAACUGGGAAACUUGAGUGCAGAAGAGGAGAGUGGAAUUCCACGUGUAGCGGUGAAAUGCGUAGAGAUAUGGAGGAACACCAGUGGCGAAGGCGACUCUCAGGUCUGUAACUGACGCUGAGGAGCGAAAGCGUGGGGAGCGAACAGGAUUAGAGACCCCCGUAGUCCCUGUCUCUUAUAC